rnacentral:lncRNA from 10 species
UCUCAGUUUUGUAAAAUAUAUCACAUAUCAACAAUAACUUUGAAAGUUACCAUUACAUGUCAUUUUUAUUUUAAAAGUUGGAGUUUAAAAAACCAUUUUUGAAACUUUUUUUCAAGGAAGAUCUUUAAUAGAAAAACAUAGCCAGAAAAUGUCAAACACUUACAACAAAUAUGCACAUGUUUAAGAAAGAAGGAAAAGGGAGGCCGAGGCAGGUGGAUCACUGGAGGUCAGGAGUUUGAGACCAGCCUGACCAACAUGGUGAAACCCCGUCUCUACUAAAAAUACAAAAAUUAGCCAGGCCUGGUGGUGGGCACCUGUAAUCCCAGCUACCUGGGAGGCUAAAGCAGGAGAAUCACUAGAACCUGGUAGGGGGAGGUUGCAGUGAGCCGAGAUCGUGCCAUUGCACUCCAGCUUGGGGAAUAGGGAGAGAAUCCAUCUCAAAAAAAAAAAAAAAAGAAGGAAAUAUAUUUGUUUGCUUUUAAAGGUAUUUUACUGUUUUUAUUUAGUUACAGAUAGAAUACCUCUCGUUAUAUGAGCACUAUGCAAAAAAUGUAAAUUUAUCAGAUGUUAUAAGUUACAGAAUAAUCUAAGCUUAUUGCUUCAAACAAUCUGUCAAUAAGUUAGGUGUUUUUAAAUACGCUUUAACAGAGUUAUGUAUUAUCUAUUCAUCCAUCCAUUCAUCUGUUAACUUAUUUAUUCUUCCAUACUUGUAUUUACUUACCUUGGUACAAGGUAUCAAGUAUAAUGAGGCCAUAGGGAUUAAAUAUACAUUUAAAACCAUUUAGCUGUGUUGUGCUUUUUUUAUUUAUACACCAAAAAUGAAUGAUGAUUGGAGUUAUAUUAGUAAAAUUCAAGCUGGAUAGAUCUGUAAGCCAGGAUAUUUUCAGAAAAGCAUAGAUGGGUUCUCAUUAUAUAGCAUUAGAUAAUAUUAUAAUAGACAUUAACAUCAAUUUUAAUAGUUAUAAGAAUACAUGGUAAAAGAUAGUUUUUAAAAUGGUAUUUUUUCUUAAGGUCUACUUAAUAGACAGCUGCUGAAUUUUUAAAAAUCACCUGCAAAAAAAUGUAGUAGCUUUUUUCGUGUGGUAACUGAGACAGAUAAAAUGUAUUAUUAAAAACAAAAUGGCAGAAGCAGGAUUUUCAUAUAAGUUACAGCAGAAUAAAAAGCAUAAAAUUUGGCCAGACUUAUUUUUGAGAAGAUGGAUUUUCCGUUACCUGGCAGGCAUUAUCUUUCUCAAAGUGUGUGGCUAGGGUAAUGCACAGCCCACAAUACGAACCUAGCAAGAGAAUAAAGGCUAAAUGAGCCCAUAGCCACACAGGAAAUGUGCCGUUUCAAAUCUUGGCGGGGGAGAAAGCAAUGGCUCCAGAUAUCUUUCAACUCUUCCAGGAGUACGGUGCAUUGACUUGAUGGAAGACAUUUAUGACAUUCAAACUAUUGAGUUUAGAUCAUGUAAGAUUUUAAUAGUUGCUGCAGAAAUGGCAAGACGAUUAACAUAAAAAUCUACUAUUUUGUAAGCAAUUAUUUAGAUUGUUCAGAUUUCUGCUUAUACAAAUUAAUUCACUUAAUAUACAAAGCCAAAGUGUGGCCCAUAAAAAUUUGCAACAUAAACCAAAAUGGAAACUAAUAUUGACACUGAAAAUAUAAUUCUUUAUGAGAUCUGCUAGAGAGGAGAGAAGCUAGCUUGACACAAAUAUUUUCUUCUCUUAAAAAAGCAUAGAUACUGUGAAAAAAAAGUUAUGAAAUGAGACCAAAGUAAAAAUAUAUAACCACUUGAAUAAAAUUGGAGAAAAGUAGAGUUAACAUAGUAACUCCAUUUUACUAUUAACAUAGUGAAAUAAUCUCCAUUAAAAGCAGUAAGGAAGUAAGGAAUGGAAUUAACAUUACAAAUGUCAGGUCUGUGAUGUGAGAAGGGAAUUUAGAAUAUUUUAAAUGUAAAGAAAAUAGAAAAAAUAAAAGAUGUUAUUAACAAAUAGUCAUGACACUGAACUGACAAGAUAUUGAUAAAUGUGGCUACUA